rnacentral:rRNA from 1 species
UACGUAGGGUGCAAGCGUUGUCCGGAAUUAUUGGGCGUAAAGAGCUCGUAGGCGGCUUGUCGCGUCGACUGUGAAAAACCACGACUCAACCGUGGGACUGCAGUCGAUACGGGCAGGCUAGAGUUCGGUAGGGGAGACUGGAAUUCCUGGUGUAGCGGUGAAAUGCGCAGAUAUCAGGAGGAACACCGGUGGCGAAGGCGGGUCUCUGGGCCGUAACUGACGCUGAGGAGCGAAAGCGUGGGGAGCGAACAGG